AAAAAGUUCUAGAGUGCUUUGACCUAUUAUUAAUUCUUACAUGUAUUGUUUCAAUUUUCAUAAGCAGCACCAUUUAUUCAGAUAAAUAUUAAAGGAGCUAGAAAAAAAUUUCAUAGUUUCUUUGAUUUAUAAAUAUUCAACCUGCAGAAAGGACAACCAUACUACUAGAAUGCCCAUUCGGACACCAAUGGAGCAGCAGAAGCAGCCACAGCAGCAGCAAAAGGAUGUUAGCGAACGGGGCACUAAUUGCAAUGAAGGCAAAGUCUCCAGCCAUGUACCAGAAGAGCCACACAAUCCCAACCUUACAAAGAUAUCGACUGUGAACAACCAAUCAGAUACAAAUCCAAAGUUAUCAGAAGAGAAAAAGAAUCCAAAGGAUUUGACAAAAGAGCAGCCCAAGGCACAACUGCUAGAAGAGAACCGUAUUCCAAAGGUUACAAACCAUUGGUCUUUGUACCAAAUGGCAUUUCCACACUCUCGAAUAAGGGUUGGAAUUUUUGGUUACUUGUUCAACCUUCACAGAUGUAUGAUAAUAUGAGUAAUAUUUAUACAUCUCAAAAAGAGAAAAAAGAAAAAACUCCUACAGUUUUUGUAAAAUCUUGGGCCUGCAUGCAGCCAAGCAAGAAAAUAUCAACAAAUAUACAAGUGAUCAGAAGAUUGCUACGGAUAGCCCUCCAGAAUCGUUUAAAAAGCAAAAGAAGGACGACCAGAAAGAUGGACAGCAGAGUAAUACAGUAACUGCAACAACCAUGUGCUGUUGCUGCUCCAUAUUAUAGACCAACAAGUUCGAAGCUAUUCUCGGAUGUGAUACAGUGGCUGUGUGUAAACAAUGGAUUGCUAGAGGCUAGGUGCAUUAACGGUGAGGAUUUGCCUUCCAAAGUCAAUUGCAACUGAUGUUACGGUGAGAAUGACUUCUUGUAAGAAUGUACAAGGACGAUGCUGAUCACGAGACUUGUUGCUUUUUGAAACAACCUGGCUUCUUAAUGUCAUAGUUUGAUUAGCAAUAUUUCUUAGUUAGGAAGUUUUGUCCAAUAAUGUUUAGUUCUAACAUUGGUCUGUACAGUUGAUUUGUUGGCAGCCAAAGCUGCUGCUUCUUUGUUAACGGAUAUUUCAGUUUGGUUCCUACAAUGACUUAAAAAUUCUCAGUCAUCCCU